rnacentral:rRNA from 1 species
AGAUGACGAGCGGCGGUACGGGUGAGUAAUGCUUGGGAAUAUGCCUUAGGGUGGGGGACAACAGUUGGAAACGACUGCUAAUACCGCAUAACGUCUACGGACCAAAGGGGGCUUCGGCUCUCGCCCUUAGAUUAGCCCAAGUGGGAUUAGCUAGUUGGUGAGGUAAUGGCUCACCAAGGCGACGAUCCCUAGCUGGUUUGAGAGGAUGAUCAGCCACACUGGAACUGAGACACGGUCCAGACUCCUACGGGAGGCAGCAGUGGGGAAUAUUGCACAAUGGGCGCAAGCCUGAUGCAGCCAUGCCGCGUGUGUGAAGAAGGCCUUAGGGUUGUAAAGCACUUUCAGUAAGGAGGAAAGGUUAGUAGUUAAUACCUGCUAGCUGUGACGUUACUUACAGAAGAAGCACCGGCUAACUCCGUGCCAGCAGCCGCGGUAAUACGGAGGGUGCGAGCGUUAAUCGGAAUUACUGGGCGUAAAGCGUACGCAGGCGGUUUGUUAAGCGAGAUGUGAAAGCCCCGGGCUCAACCUGGGAACUGCAUUUCGAACUGGCAAACUAGAGUAUGAUAGAGGGUGGUAGAAUUUCAGGUGUAGCGGUGAAAUGCGUAGAGAUCUGAAGGAAUACCGAUGGCGAAGGCAGCCACCUGGGUCAAUACUGACGCUCAUGUACGAAAGCGUGGGGAGCAAACGGGAUUAGAUACCCCGGUAGUCCACGCCGUAAACGAUGUCUACUAGGAGCUGGGGUCUUCGGACAACUUUUCCAAAGCUAACGCAUUAAGUAGACCGCCUGGGGAGUACGGCCGCAAGGUUAAAACUCAAAUGAAUUGACGGGGGCCCGCACAAGCGGUGGAGCAUGUGGUUUAAUUCGAUGCAACGCGAA